CCAGACGCCUAUCCAAAGGCAACGGUACCAUCUUCUGUGUGCUUUCUUAGUCUUCGUGCGUAUUCCGAAGUUGUUGUAGUGUUCAUCCCUACCGGAGACACUCUUCACCAACAGUUCCCCGUAAUAUCCUCCACGGAAUGAUGUUCAUGGAUCUUCACAUCGUUGAAGCCUUUUCUCCAUCAGAGUGACCAAAGCGUGCGCAGACAAUGCGCCAGCUUUGCUUGUGUUUCUUUUCUCUGCAUAUGAAAAUUUCCAAUGUCAUCUUACCUGGAGGACUAAAUUAAUAUAAGCGCAUUAGAUGAAGAUCCUUAUUAACCAAAAAAAUAACUGAGUUCUUUGUAAUUAACUGGCACUAGGACUUAAAGCUGACCCACUGAACAUGAGAAAAAAAAAGACUUCUAGAUCAUUUUGUUACAGGACCCGCAGGAACUUAUUGUUUCUGUUUAUCUAAUGAAUUUCAGUUCCAUCAGGAUUUUAAAUCAUGUCUACUUCUCUUAAGUAUUUCAGGCGUUUCAUGAAUCAAUAUUUUCUGCUAAUAGCCUGACUUCAGCUGUGGUUCCGUAUGAUUGCUGUGUUUGAUAAGAACAUACCUUGUACAUGUAGUCUGUCGGAUCCGUGUUUCCAUCCUGAGCCAUUGUGGAGUUCCUUUAGAGUGCUUAUGAUAAGCAGAAGAAUGGGAACCUGACUUGGUAGCUUAUUGAUCUGACCUGGUAGUUGACAUCGAAUUGCAGCAGCCUUUAGCCGGGAGAUGAAUGAUGCGCUAAUUACGAACAUAUUUCUUGGUAGCUUAUUGAUCUGACCUGGUAGUUUACAAUAAAUAAAAAAAGGGAAAAGGCAAGGAGAAAAGGAAAAAGAAAGGUGAAUAGUGUGAGUAGAAACAGGGUUCUAGUACAUCUGAAGUAAGGGAAGAUUUAUAUGAAGUAACUGAAAGAACAGAUAAGAGAUGAAGGAAAAUAAAGCAAAAAGAAAAUAAUAUUGGAAAAAUAGUGUCAGCCUGGUUGCCAUUCUUUAUUUUUGUAAUAGUUAUAAAGACUUGUAGUCAUGUACUUUAAUUUUAAAUUUAAUUACAUCUAGACAGAUAAUACAUUGACUUCCAGAAGAUGAGGCUUACCAGGCUUUUUUUUUAGAAAUGCAGGUUCACUUCAAGUAGUAGGCUUCAGAUAUAGUGAUAAUUGGAUUUCUGCAAAGGCAUUAGGAGAAUAAUAUUAGAGGUAUUUUUAGAACCAUCUAUGUUGUAUUAUGAUAAAAACAAAUAGAUUGGACAAAAUGAGAGCUAUUAAAAUUUACCAGAUUCUCCGUUGGGUCAGAAAGCAACACAACUCAACAUCGAUGCUGUUUGCGAUAAAGAUGAAAUUGUUCCAA